UUUGUGGCACACAUGUAAAUU
rnacentral:piRNA from 1 species